rnacentral:rRNA from 1 species
GACGAACCGUGCGAACGUUGUUCGGAAUCACUGGGCUUAAAGGGUGCGUAGGCGGACAUUCAAGUCAGGGGUGAAAUCCUCCAGCUUAACUGGAGAACUGCCUCUGAUACUGGAUGUCUCGAGUGAGGUAGGGGCGUGCGGAACUGAUGGUGGAGCGGUGAAAUGUGUUGAUAUCAUCAGGAACUCCGGUGGCGAAAGCGGCGCGCUGGACCUUAACUGACGCUGAGGCACGAAAGCCAGGGGAGCGAACGGG